UACAGCAAGAACAGUAUGCGCUUAAAAGGA
rnacentral:piRNA from 1 species